CCUACGGGUGGCAGCAGUGGGGAAUAUUGCACAAUGGGGGAAACCCUGAUGCAGCGACGCCGCGUGAGUGAAGAAGGAUUUCGGUAUGUAAAGCUCUAGCAGCAGGGAAGAAAAGGACGGUACCUGAGUAAGAAGCCCCGGCUAACUACGUGCCAGCAGCCGCGGUAAUACGUAGGGGGCAAGCGUUAUCCGGAUUUACUGGGUGUACAGGGAGCGUAGACGGCAGCACAAGUAGGGAGUGAACUGCCGGGGCUUAACCCCGGAACUGCUUUUGAAACUGUGCAGCUAGAGUGCAGGAGAGGUAAGUGGCAUUCCUCUUGUAGCCGUUCCAUGCGUCGCUCUUAGGAGGCACCCCAGUGGCGCAGGCGGCUUACUGGACUGUACCUGACGUUGCGGCUCGAACGCGUGGGGCGCACACAGGAUUAGAUACCCUAGUAGUC
rnacentral:rRNA from 1 species